rnacentral:rRNA from 1 species
UGGGGAAUAUUGCACAAUGGGCGCAAGCCUGAUGCAGCCAUGCCGCGUGUAUGAAGAAGGCCUUCGGGUUGUAAAGUACUUUCAGUCGGGAGGAAGGUGGUAAGGUUAAUAACCUUAUCAAUUGACGUUACCGACAGAAGAAGCACCGGCUAACUCCGUGCCAGCAGCCGCGGUAAUACGGAGGGUGCAAGCGUUAAUCGGAAUUACUGGGCGUAAAGCGCACGCAGGCGGUUGAUUGAGUCAGAUGUGAAAUCCCCGGGCUCAACCUGGGAACUGCAUCUGAUACUGGCAAGCUUGAGUCUCGUAGAGGGGGGUAGAAUUCCAGGUGUAGCGGUGAAAUGCGUAGAGAUCUGGAGGAAUACCGGUGGCGAAUGCGGCCCCCUGGACGAAGACUGACGCUCAGGUGCGAAAGCGUGGGGAGCAAACAGG